GGCACUUUGGCCGAGUGGUUAAGGCGAUGGCCUGCUACCAGUUAGCGGAGAUAGCCAUUGGGUUCGCCCGCGAGUGUUCGAAUCACUCAGGUGUCG